rnacentral:rRNA from 1 species
UACGUAGGUGGCAAGCGUUGUCCGGAAUUAUUGGGCGUAAAGCGCGCGCAGGUGGUUUCUUAAGUCUGAUGUGAAAGCCCACGGCUCAACCGUGGAGGGUCAUUGGAAACUGGGGAACUUGAGUGCAGAAGAGGAAAGUGGAAUUCCAAGUGUAGCGGUGAAAUGCGCAGAUAUCAGGAAGAACACCCGUGGCGAAGGCGGCUCUCUGGGACGGUACUGACGCUGAGACGCGAAAGCGUGGGGAGCGAACAGG